rnacentral:rRNA from 1 species
GGUGGAGCGAUCUGUUUGGUUAAAUUCGAUAACGAACGAGACUCUCCCCUGCUAACUAGUCGGUUGGAUCUUGAAAUGUGAGUUAGCAGCUUCAGGGAUCUCUCCUUGCGUGGUGGUACUUGCGUUCCGGCUGCUGUGCUUGUCGCGGCCUGUCGUGCGUGAUGUGCUCUGCGUGUAGGGUCUCCCUUGGCUGCCCUCCUAGUCCGCCGGCCUUUUAAGGUCUUGAAGAAUUCUUCUUAGAGGGAUCAACGGCUCUGAAGCCGUCAGAGACUGAGAGCAAUAACAGGUCUGUGAUGCCCUUAGAUGUUCUGGGCCGCACGCGCGCUACAAUGCUGGGCACAACAGGUGUUUCUUCCUGCUCCGAGAGGAGCGGGCAACCCUCUGAAAGCCCUUCUUGUCUCUCUCUUUCUGCGUAGUUUCACCUCGUGUGUGCUUCGUAGAGGAGAGCAGCGUGCUUGGGCCUGGGGCUUGCAAUUAUUCCCCACAAACGAGGAAUGCCUAGUAGCGGUGGGUCACUGAGCCCGCCGUGACUGAGUCCCUGCCCUUUGUACACACCGCCCGUCGCUACUACCGAUUGGGUGUUCCAGUGAGAGCCUUGGACUGGCAGAGCCGCCCCUCAAAGGCGGUAUCAUGACUGAAAGAGGUCCGAACUGGUGCACUUAGAGGAAGAAAAGUCGUAACAAGGUUCCCGUAGGUGAACCUGCGGAAGGAUCAUUA